UACGAAGGGGGCUAGCGUUGCCCGGAAUCACUGGGCGUAAAGGGUGCGUAGGCGGGUCUUUAAGUCAGGGGUGAAAUCCUGGAGCUCAACUCCAGAACUGCCUUUGAUACUGAGAAGCUUGAGUCCGGGAGAGGUGAGUGGAACUGCGAGUGUAGAGGUGAAAUUCGUAGAUAUUCGCAAGAACACCAGUGGCGAAGGCGGCUCACUGGCCCGGUACUGACGCUGAGGUGCGAAAGCGUGGGGAGCAAACAGG
rnacentral:rRNA from 1 species